rnacentral:rRNA from 1 species
CGCCAGCAGCCGCGGUAAUACGUAGGGGGCGAGCGUUGUCCGAAGUUACUGGGCGUAAAGCGCGCGUAGGCGGCUUAUUAAGUGGCCGGUGAAAUCCCCGGGCUCAACCUGGGGCGGUCUGGUCAUACUGGUAAGCUGGAGUGUGGGAGAGGAGAGUGGAACUCCAGGUGUAGCGGUGAUAUGCGUAGAUAUCUGGAAGAACACCCGUGGCGAAGGCGGCUCUCUGGACCACAACUGACGCUGAGGCGCGAAAGCCAGGGGAGCGAACGGGAUUAGAUACCCCGGUAGUCCUGGCCCUAAACGAUGGAUACUAGGUGUGGGGGGUAUCGACCCCUCCCGCGCCGCAGCAAACGCAAUAAGUAUCCCGCCUGGGGAGUACGGCCGCAAGGUUGAAACUCAAAGGAAUUGACGGGGGCCCGCACAAGC